rnacentral:rRNA from 1 species
UACGGAGGGUGCAAGCGUUAUCCGGAUUCACUGGGCGUAAAGGGCGCGUAGGCGGGAUGACAAGUCGGUCGGGAAAUCCCUGGGCUCAACUCAGGGGGGUCGGCCGAUACUGCCAUUCUUGAGGGAUGCAGAGGAGACUGGAAUUCCCGGUGUAGCGGUGAAAUGUGUAGAGAUCGGGAGGAACACCGGUGGCGAAGGCGGGUCUCUGGGCAUUCCCUGACGCUGAGGCGCGAAAGCGUGGGGAGCAAACGGG